UAGAGGCAUAGCACAGUCAGCAAG
rnacentral:misc_RNA from 1 species